CUACGUCGCAGCAGCCGCGGUAAUACGUAGGUGGCAGCGUUAUCCGGAUUUAUUGGGCGUAAAGAGAGUGCAGGCGGUUUUUCUAAGUCUGAUGUGAAAGCCUUCGGCUUAACCGGAGAAGUGCAUCGGAAACUGGAUAACUUGAGUGCAGAAGAGGGUAGUGGAACUCCAUGUGUAGCGGUGGAAUGCGUAGAUAUAUGGAAGAACACCAGUGGCGAAGGCGGCUACCUGGUCUGCAACUGACGCUGAGACUCGAAAGCAUGGGUAGCGAACAGGAUUAGAUACCCCUGGUAG
rnacentral:rRNA from 1 species